rnacentral:tRNA from 1 species
GGAAUCGUAGCUCAGUUGGUUAGAGCGCUGCCCUGUCACGGCAGAGGUCGCGAGUUCGAGUCUCGUCGGUUCCGCCA